UGAUUUCGAAAAAAUCGAUUUUCGACAUGAGGUCCAUUACCAUGACUCGUGAAGUAACACCAAUGAUAUACCAGAAAACCCGGUAAUAAGUAGCAGUAAUUUCAAAUUGUGAACGACAAAUUGGAAAAUUCUGAAAUCUCGGGAUCCCAUUUCCCGGGAAUUACAUUAAUCCCGAAAAAUCCCAGUAGCACAACCCCAACCAAGAUCGUCGGCAAUGUUCAUUUUGGCUUAAAAAAAUCAAAAAUCCUAGAAUUAAAAUUCAUGUAAAACCGUAUUUUGUCCAAUACCAAACUUUAGUGUUGGAAUUUUUCAAAACUUCUACAAAAAAGUCACAAUAAUGAUUCUAAAUCACAGUCCUUUCUUACCUCUUGCCCAGGUGUAUGAUUUAGAAAUUAGUGAAUUAGACAACGACGGUGACAAGUUAAAGCACUUGUAGUCUGGACUCUCUGCCGAAAAAUUGUCGUAGUGGUACACGUUCGCGAUAAGUGCCAUCUUUCUUUAAGGCGUUAAUAGACUCAAGGCCACGGUUUUUAAUAUAAAGUUUUGCCUCGGCCAAGGUAUAAAAAGUUUUUGUCCUCUUCCAGUUAUGGAUAUGUUUUUGCGUUUUGAGAGGUGGUGUAUUUUCUUCUUCAGAAUCAUCAGAAUUCAAUUCGAAAUUAUUAACUACAAAACUAUAGAUCGUUUUAUUCGAUAGUUCGCAGUAUCAAAAGGUAACGUAACAAUAAAGUAUGGAAAGUUGAAUUUCAUUCAAGACAUUAAAUAAAGGUAAAAUACUUACAUGCAUGUCACACCAAAUCAUUAUUAACUAUAACCUUAAAGAAAUUUUUGAACAGUUUCAAUCUAAUUCACACUUUGGAUACAGAGGAUCACAGAUCCUUAUUGAACAGGACGAGAACUGACCUUAAGGAGACGUAUGCGAGACGUGGUGGUGUGAGGUUGCUCUAUCUUCAGCUCUCCUCGACUGUAUAAGUGGGAAUAUUUAAUUAAUUAAGAAAUUACUCACUGUUUGAAAAUUUUGCAAUUGUUAUCUUGUCGAUAAUAUACUACGAAACUGUUUGUACAUUUCCAACUGUGUUAUCAAUUUUGAACUUGAGAUUUUCAUAAAAGCUGGUGAGAAAUGUAUCCCAUUAAUCCCUGUUAAUACGUUGAAUAUUCAUGUAUCUUUAUAACUGAAUUCGAAAAUUGUUAUCAAAUUGUUGUAUUGUAAAAAACUCUUGUCAACUACAUACGUCGCAUCACUUCUAUCUUCCCUGGCUGCCGUCCUACAAACCGUGAUAUAUUUUUGGGUGUGGCGGGGACAGGGACGCCUUGCCUUCCACACCUCGACCUUGAGGGGACGCCCAAUGGGUCACCCGCUGGGAACCAUCGGGUCUCUGAGGACGCCUGGUCACACCCAUGGAACCUGGCAUGCAUCAUUUCUGUCGGAAGCUGGGGGUGGAUCAUUCUCUGUUGGGAUUCUGACCUCACCAUGUCUGGAAUGUGCAACCUAACACCGUCUGAAUAACGCCUACCCCUACGUAGAUACAUACGUACUUAACCUACAUGAAUAUGUAUUCUUGCAAAAUGUGAUUUGUACCGACAUUAUGAGCAACUUCGCACCACCACGUCACUUCGUUGAGAAUAAGAAUUGGACUUUAGCUAUAAUUAAAGCACACGUCUCCAGUUACGCUGUUGUAUAUAUUACGUUGUAAUGUUAUAACAUUUAAGAUCUCGUAACUGUACGUAAGAUUGUGAUAUGAAACUUGACGUAACGAUUUGUAACUUGUUUAUCAUGUAAUUGAAUUGAUCAACCACUGAAUGUAACUUUAUAGGCGUUUGCCUGAAAAAGUUCAAGAAAUAAGCUGAAUCCAUCCAUCCAACUGACCUUAAGACUGCCGUCGGCGUGGAUGAAUUUAUUUUAAAGUUCGGAAAUAUAAAAUAUGUACCCUACCCUCGCAGUGCAUGCGAGUUUGGCCAGUCUUUCUAACUGCAUAAUAAGGGUCUGCCAUUCUGCAUUUAUGUACCCAACGUUCCCUUUACAUAAUCUUCCCGGAAAAUCAUGUAAAGGGGGUCAUGCAUAAGGCAGGUGACAAUGUUUUUUACCCUGCAAUGUGCCUAGUAAUUAUGCUCAAUAUCAUUGGAAAGUCAACAUGGUCUUUGAAAUCAAACCCCAUAAAUAUGUACCCGUAUUUCGUAAUCAAAUCCAUCAUGCAUGGUCCCAAAUAAAAAGGUUCACAAUGUCGAGCCCUCAAAUGUAGAUAAACAAUCAAGUCAACACUGAACAUGUGUUCUCGUUUGAAGGGAAUAAAAAAAGUAGGAAUAUAUGUAUUUCCACUUAUUUCAAAUAAAUUAAAAUUAAUUAGUUUCACUAAUCUGAAUAUUAUUAAACUUUAAUUCUUGGUAAGACCAUUCAGAUAUAAAUAAUGACGCAAUUCACGCAAUGAUUGGUAACUUUGUAAAAUAUGUACGUUUUGUACAAUAAUUUUGCCAACUUUUGUAAAAUAAAAUACACCCUUGAUCUAAGCAAGCUUAUAAAAAUUUUCAAGUUCUGCUUAGAAAUAUUUGUACAUUUUUUUAUUAGUGUGCAAGCUUACAGAAUUUACUGAUUUUAGAACAUCACUCCGUGGAUUGUCUCAAUACAGAGUAUUUGCUAUUGAAAGUAUGUAUAUUAUAAAUGGAAAUACAAAAUCAUACAUA